CAUACAGCAUGUUCUUGAAGAUCCGGCUUGCUAUUAAAACCACCACUUAAUGUAGCCCAGAGGACUAGAGACACUGAAUGCAGUGGCAUUUACUGAAUCAUUUGGACAUGGGAGCAUUGCUUGUUUGCUCAGGCUGAUUGAGAUGGCAUGGAGCCAGGACUGUCAUUACUUCUAUACUGAGUACCUGGCUUCUUUGGGAUCUCAGUUCAAGCAAAAACACUUUCCAGUAAAUACUCAGGAGGUCAAAGGGACUGAGAAAUGGACAGCGGAAGUGAUUGGCGUGAAUGGAUCUUUGUGGCUACUGGCUACAUGUUGUCAUCAUGGUUAUUGGACCCGAGGGUACAGGAUUAGAAUCAGUCCUGGAGCAAAAAUAAGUAACUAAAACUGAGAGAUUUCAUUGCCAGCAAGCUGACAUUCUGAGAAUGCUAAAGGAAUUACUUCCAAGGAAGAGGAAAUGGCACCAGAUUGAAAAUCAAAUCUCCAGGAAAGAAUGAAGAGCACCAGAAAUGGGAAAUCUGUGGUUGAACAUAGAAGGAUAUUGGUAAAAUCUAACUAGUGGGGGUUGUUAAGAUGAGUUCCUGAAAAUUACAUUUGUCACAAAGAAAAAUGGUAAUAAAAGUUUCACUAUCAUUUUGUA